rnacentral:misc_RNA from 1 species
GAGAUUUGGCUGAAAAUGAUGCAUGAAAUAUGAAAUCGUCUAUGCAUUUGAGACCCCCAGUAAAGUUUAAUUGUUAUUUUGGUGUUGUUAAAUGCAUAAAUAUUUCCUGCGUUUCACUCCAUAGUGAUAUCCGUAAAAUAAUUUUGCGAAUAACGAAAACUGCUGUUUCGAGCAACGAUCGAAGAGUUCCCUAGUCUCCUAGAGCAAAUAGUCUUCUUGAAGCCAGAUAUGGACAAUGCGAUCUACCACUUCAUGGACUGCGACGGCAGCAAAGACGGACCGCCGCAGCCCUACCCGGACCUCUCUCAGAUAGCCGACUUUUCCACGGCGGCCGAGGCAGCGCCGCAAGACGAGCCCGCCCAGCCGCGCGUGCGAAAAUUCUACCCAGGCGUGCUCGAUUCCAAGUACAUGCAGGCGGUGGUGCGCGGCGGCCGGGAGGGCCUGCUCCAGUUCCGCGAGAACCCGCAGCGCAGCCACCCGGUGCCGUACCCGUGGCCAGAGUGGUUUGAUCACGAGACUGGUUCUCCGGCAGGUAAGAAGCGCCACGGCCAGCGCGGCUACCCGGAGGGCUGCACCAGCCAGCGGCCGGCCGCCGUGCCGGGCUGCGGCGGCUCCGUCAGCGGCAGAGGCGGAGGAAACCGGCCCGUGCCGUCCAUGUACGACCCGCCUCCGUGCGCGGCCGCCGUCGCCGCCGCCAACGCAGCAGCCUCGGCCGCUGAGGUGCACCACUGCCAGCCGGUGGUGGUGGCCUGUCCGAUACCGGCACAGCCGCACCACCAGCAGCAGCACCAGCCGCACCAGCACCAGCCGCAGCAGCCGCCACCGUUCGUGCGCGCCGCCAACACGGAACACUGCAUUCCGUGCAGCGCGGCGCCCGAGGUGUGGGCCGACCCCAGCGACCCGCGAGCCGACUGCACCCCGCACCGUCCGCCGCCGCCGCAGCACCACGCGCCGCACCACCAGCGACCGCGGCCACAGCCCGCCAGCACCGACAGGAACUUCGUGCCCUCCUACCUGCACGAGCCGGAGAACAUGGCGAAGAUAAUCGCUCACGACUACCAGCGUCAGUGGGUGGACGAGCGGGACUCGUGGGAGGAAUCGCACGCCACCUCCAACGACAACCAGCGCAUGCGCAUGCAGAACCGCUGCAGCCACCAGGAGCGCAAGUAGGUUUGUGGAGCACCAAAAAUGCGCCCGUGACACGAAGGCGAAGGUGGCCGAGGGUCAGCUUCCGGACUGCCGGAAAAAGUCGACCACGAAGCGGCCGUGGUACCCUCCCGGGAAGGUGUGCGUCGUACGCAGACGCUGCGGCUGCUGACAGGGACACGGCGGUCCACAGCGAGAUAUCAGCCGACAAAUCAGCAGUGACGUUUCUCAGUGAGCCAUAGAGUCAGGAGUAAAUUCAUGUGGCGUCAAGUGCGUAAUACAUCUGGACCAGAAAACA